rnacentral:rRNA from 1 species
CAGUCGCCACGGUAAUACGGAGGGUGCAAGCGUUAAUCGGAAUUACUGGGCGUAAAGCGCACGCAGGCGGUUUGUUAAGUCAGAUGUGAAAUCCCCGAGCUUAACUUGGGAACUGCAUUUGAAACUGGCAAGCUAGAGUCUUGUAGAGGGGGGUAGAAUUCCAGGUGUAGCGGUGAAAUGCGUAGAGAUCUGGAGGAAUACCGGUGGCGAAGGCGGCCCCCUGGACAAAGACUGACGCUCAGGUGCGAAAGCGUGGGGAGCAAACAGGAUUAGAUACCCCCGUAGUACCUGUCUCUUAUAC